rfam:Gossypium hirsutum cultivar TM-1 chromosome 25, whole genome shotgun sequence
UGUUAAAAAUUUCAUCCAUUUGUACUGUUAAAAAUUGGCAUGGUUGACAGAACAACAAGACUGUAAUACAUGGCAUGCCAUUUGUACAUCAUGCUGACGUACAAUGACUAGUUUUUAACAGUAGAAAUGGAUGAAAAUUUAAACA